CCCUACUUGUACUCCUUUCAAACAGAGCCCCGACUGAAGACCGGUGCCGGCAACUCGGCGAGUCAGCGAUGGAGAAGCCCGAAGGCCAGCGCAAAAAGGGUGCCGUUAAAGCGGUUGUUUCACGUAGCAUCGAUGGGUUCGGAUGGACGCCCUACGAAUCUCGGAAUUCCGCACUCAUGAAUCAGCGUCCUGUGCCUUUGUGACCUCUUCUCCGGUCUACUGGUCCAGGCCCUGGUAGGGCACAUGAGCGACCGGUGCAAGAGUCGGUUCGGCCGUCGCAGGCCUUUCAUCGCUGCCGGAGAGGUGUCUAUGACUGUUGCCGUUCUGAUUAUUGGACACUUCGCGGACAUCGGUCGGAUACACGGGGGCGGAGGGGAGUCGAGGGCGUGCGCCGUCGUUUAUUUUGUUUUAGGGUUUUGGUUGCUUGAUGCCGCUAAAAACAUGACCCACGAUAACCCAAGACCUUGCAGUUGCAGGGCUCGUCUUGCCAAUCACAUCGGAACAGUUGCAGCCUUUGUCAGUGGACUUGUGGCCAUAUGGGCGCUAUCUCAAUCUCACAAGAGAACCCUAGGAUUCAUCUCUAAGGUGUUAAAAUGUUUUUUUUUUUUUCUUUUAAUUUAUUUUUUUAAACAGCUAUUCAUCAUUGCAGCCACUAAAUGACAUGGAAACGGGAAAUAUGUUCCUCGUUAAAGGAAAAUUGUGAAUGUUUAUUGUUAAAUCUGUAGUUCUUAAUAAAAUCAAUAUCUUUUUUA